GGCUCCGUGGCUCAACUGAAUAGAGCAUCUGACUACGGAUCAGAAGGUUACAGGUUUGAAUCCUGUCGGAGUCACGA
rnacentral:tRNA from 1 species